AAAGUUUACGGUGAAACGAGAGCCACCAAAAGUACAACCAUAAUUAAAACAUAAAAACAAUAAUAAUAAAAAAAACUACAAAUAAAAAUCUAAUACUACUCAAAACAAAGUCUCAAAACAAAGUCUUCAAUCCUCCUCAUCAUGUCCACCGCCUACGGACCCAAGGACAUCUUCCAUGUCUUCAUCAUGGCCCGCACCACUAGCUCGACCACUACCUCCUGCACCC
rnacentral:lncRNA from 1 species